UGCCUUGUAGUGGAAUUGGUUAACACGCCUGACUUUGGUUCAGGAGAUUUCAGGUUCGAGUCCUGACGAGGCAU
rnacentral:tRNA from 1 species